UACGUAGGGUGCGAGCGUUAAUCGGAAUUACUGGGCGUAAAGCGUGCGCAGGCGGUUUGCUGUGUCUGCGGUGAAAGCCCCGGGCUCAACCUGGGAAUGGCCGUGGAAACUGGCGAGCUGGAGUGUGGCAGAGGGGGGUGGAAUUCCACGUGUAGCAGUGAAAUGCGUAGAGAUGUGGAGGAACACCGAUGGCGAAGGCAGCCCCCUGGGCUGACACUGACGCUCAGGCACGAAAGCGUGGGGAGCAAACAGG
rnacentral:rRNA from 1 species